rnacentral:misc_RNA from 1 species
UUGAACUGGCGAAUUUAAUUCAGUUCAUCUUCACUUUACCGUAGGCGACAAUCACGGUGAAAAACCAUCCGUUGGUGUUUUAGUUGGGGUUAACUUGUAAUAGCAUCAUGUCGUGGGGUAUUAAAUUUCUCCUACUUGUAACACUUUGCCUUUAUAUACAAGCAAUUUCAGCCAAACAUUAUGAUGUCAAAAUGUGCUGGAGUCAAUCAGAUUUUGAGGCGAUUUUGGACUCGCAGUGUUUAAAUCACGCUCUCAGGCGAGGCAUGGAGAGGCGAGAUUUUGUCAAAUCGGAGAAAGAGGCUAAGCACUUCCUCCAGAAAUUAGCAAGGAGAGACCUUCACUCCACGGAAACAAGUGGACCUACGAACUAUCAUGAAGAGUGUUGUGUGGAGGGAUGCAAGUUUGAAGAAAUAGCGGAGUAGUGCUUGCUGUACUGAAAGUAUAUGAUCGACAUAAAUCAAAGAACACUAGCCAGAUCUUGAAUAAUAUGUACAGCCAUUUCAGAAUGGAGGGGGGUGAAUAGGGGUAUGCAAAUCCGCCGAUCCGCUAUGAUUUGAUAACCAAAUCUGUCAGUCCGUUAAAAAAAAUUGUUAGGCUGAAUCCGUUCGCUACUUGCCUCGUAAAAAGGUGAAAAACACACCUUGAGCUGUUGUGUGUUAGCUAGGCAAUGGCUUUCCCAUCGAGCGAAUUGCAAUCGGUGAGGUACAGUGUCACGGAUAAGGCCCGGGGGGGAAUCCCAUAUGAAACCAACUGGGAUGCUCGUCGGAAAUUUUAAAUUUAACCCCUAAAGGAGACCAUCUGGGCGUGGCUUAAGCAAAUUUUGACCCCUAAAAGA